AGUGAACGCUGGCGGUAGGCCUAACACAUGCAAGUCGAACGGCAGCACAGUAAGAGCUUGCUCUUACGGGUGGCGAGUGGCGGACGGGUGAGGAAUACAUCGGAAUCUACUUUUUCGUGGGGGAUAACGUAGGGAAACUUACGCUAAUACCGCAUACGACCUACGGGUGAAAGCAGGGGAUCUUCGGACCUUGCGCGAUUGAAUGAGCCGAUGUCGGAUUAGCUAGUUGGCGGGGUAAAGGCCCACCAAGGCGACGAUCCGUAGCUGGUCUGAGAGGAUGAUCAGCCACACUGGAACUGAGACACGGUCCAGACUCCUACGGGAGGCAGCAGUGGGGAAUAUUGGACAAUGGGCGCAAGCCUGAUCCAGCGAUACCGCGUGAGUGAAGAAGGCCUUCGGGUUGUAGAGCCCUUUUGUUGGGAAAGAAAAGCAGCAGGUUAAUACCCCGCUGUUCUGACGGUACCCAAAGAAUAAGCACCGGCUAACUUCGUG
rnacentral:rRNA from 1 species